rnacentral:misc_RNA from 1 species
GUAUAUUUGUUAUAUCCCCAGUACCCGACAUUCUAAAACGCGUUGUUAAAAUGUAACAUAGACCUGGCCAUUCCCUCUCGACAAGAAAACAACAUCACAGGUCUACAAUAUGUGCACAGUUGGAAAAAUAAAGAGGACAAGCGUGCACAUGUCUUCCGACCAGCAACAACCUGUUCAGAUUUAUUUCUAUAAUGAUCCUUCCGCAGGUUCACCUACGGAAA